rnacentral:rRNA from 1 species
AAAUUGAAGAGUUUGAUCAUGGCUCAGAUUGAACGCUGGCGGCAGGCCUAACACAUGCAAGUCGAACGGUAACAGGAAACAGCUUGCUGUUUCGCUGACGAGUGGCGGACGGGUGAGUAAUGUCUGGGAAACUGCCUGAUGGAGGGGGAUAACUACUGGAAACGGUAGCUAAUACCGCAUAACGUCGCAAGACCAAAGAGGGGGACCUUCGGGCCUCUUGCCAUCGGAUGUGCCCAGAUGGGAUUAGCUAGUAGGUGGGGUAACGGCUCA